GAUGAACGCUGGCGGCGUGCCUAAUACAUGCAAGUCGAGCGAACGGACGAGAAGCUUGCUUUUCUGACGUUAGCGGCGGACGGGUGAGUAACACGUGGAUAACCUACCUAUAAGACUGGGAUAACUUCGGGAAACCGGAGCUAAUACCGGAUAAUAUUUUGAACCGCAUGGUUCAAAAGUGAAAGACGGUCUUGCUGUCACUUAUAGAUGGAUCCGCGCUGCAUUAGCUAGUUGGUAAGGUAACGGCUUACCAAGGCAACGAUGCAUAGCCGACCUGAGAGGGUGAUCGGCCACACUGGAACUGAGACACGGUCCAGACUCCUACGGGAGGCAGCAGUAGGGAAUCGUCCGCAAUGGGCGAAAGCCUGACGGAGCAACGCCGCGUGAGUGAUGAAGGUCUUCGGAUCGUAAAACUCUGUUAUUAGGGAAGAACAUAUGUGUAAGUAACUGUGCACAUCUUGACGGUACCUAAUCAGAAAGCCACGGCUAACUACGUG
rnacentral:rRNA from 1 species